CCUACGGGAGGCAGCAGUGAGGAAUAUAGGUCAAUGGGCGCGAGCCUGAACCAGCCAAGUAGCGUGAAGGAUGACUGCCCUACGGGUUGUAAACGUCUGUUAUAAAGGAAUAAAGUGAGGCACGGGUGACUUUUUGUAGGUACUGUAUGAAUAAGGAUAGGCUAACUCCGUGCCAGCAGCCGCGGUAAGACGGAGGAUCCGAGCGUUAUCCGGAUUUAUUGGGUUUAAAGGGAGCGUAGAUGUGUUGUUAAGUCAGUUGUUAAAGUUUGCGGCUCAACCGUAAAAUUGCAAUUGAUACUGGCAUCCUUGAGUACAGUUGAGGUAGACGGAAUUCGUGGU
rnacentral:rRNA from 1 species